rnacentral:rRNA from 1 species
GACAGCAGUCGCCGCGGUAAUACGAAGGGUGCAAGCGUUACUCGGAAUUACUGGGCGUAAAGCGUGCGUAGGUGGUGGUUUAAGUCCGUUGUGAAAGCCCUGGGCUCAACCUGGGAAUUGCAGUGGAUACUGGGUCACUAGAGUGUGGUAGAGGAUAGUGGAAUUUCCGGUGUAGCAGUGAAAUGCGUAGAGAUCGGAAGGAACAUCUGUGGCGAAGGCGACUAUCUGGGCCAACACUGACACUGAGGCACGAAAGCGUGGGGAGCAAACAGGAUUAGAUACCCCCGUAGUCCCUGUCUCUUAUAC